rnacentral:rRNA from 1 species
GACAGAGGGGGCGAGCGUUGUCCGGAGUCACUGGGCGUAAAGCGCGCGCAGGCGGCAACCUCAGUGUCGUGUGAAAGCCCCCGGCACAACCGGGGGAGGCCAUGGCAAACUGGGUCGCUCGAGCUGCGGAGAGGCCCCUCGAAUUGCCGGUGUAGCGGUGAGAUGCGUAGAGAUCGGCAGGAAGACCAAGGGGGAAGCCAGGGGGCUGGCCGCAGGCUGACGCUGAGGCGCGACAGCGUGGUGAGCAAACCGG